CGCUACUACCGAUUGAAUGGCUCAGUGAGGCCUCCGGACUGGCUCGAAGAGGUUGGCAACGACCACUUCGAGCCGGAAAGCUGGUCAAACUCGGUCAUUUAGAGGAAGUAAAAGUCGUAACAAGGUUUCCGUAGGUGAACCUGCGGAAGGAUCAUUACCUA
rnacentral:rRNA from 1 species